AAGCGGUGGAGCAUGUGGUUUAAUUUCGAUGAUACGCGAGGAACCUUACCUGGGCUCAAAUGUAUGUUGACGUAUUCUGAAAGGGAUACUUCUCGGACAAUAUACAAGGUGCUGCAUGGUUGUCGUCAGCUCGUGCCGUGAGGUGUCGGGUUAAGUCCCAUAACGAGCGCAACCCCUAUCAUUAGUUGCCAUCAGGUCAAGCUGGGGACUCUAAUGAAACUGCCUACGCAAGUAGUGAGGAAGGUGGGGAUGACGUCAAAUCAGCACGGCCCUUACGUCCAGGGCUACACACGUGCUACAAUGGUCGGUACAAAGGGUUGCCAAGCCGCGAGGUGGAGCUAAUCCCAUAAAACCGAUCGUAGUCCGGAUCGCAGUCUGCAACUCGACUGCGUGAAGUCGGAAUCGCUAGUAAUCGUGAAUCAGAAUGUCACGGUGAAUACGUUCCCGGGCCUU
rnacentral:rRNA from 1 species